rnacentral:lncRNA from 1 species
GGGCAAAAUCAAUUAUUAGAAGUUGUUUAGAGAAACAACUGGUUGUGAACCUACCUAUAGAUACACAUGGGUUGACCAACCAAAGUUGGGCUCGUGUGUAGUCUGUGUGGAUUCUAAUACCCACUAAGAAAUUAAAGUAAUUCCUCGAAUUGGAGGUUGAGGCUACCAAUUCGUAAAAAUACUGGAAAAAACUUUAGACUAAAGUCCAAGUCUUUAGUAUUAAUAAUUUAUGUACUAAUAUAGGUCUGGUUUUUCUUUAUGCAGCUAUGGCCACU